GACAAAUAAUUCAACUAAUACUUAUUUAGAACCUUUUGUGUGUCGACAUGCAAUAAAGUAGUACUUGUGUAGCAAACAUAGUAAAUGCAAAUUAAAUUAAAUGGAGGCAGAAAUUAAUGUAAGCUGCACACAGUAGAUGAAGCUUGAACCAAAUUUUAAGGACGUUACUUAGAAAAAAGGAGCUUGUACUUUAUGAGGAAAAUGUAGAAAUUAUACCAUUCAAAGUGGUUCUUUUGUUCAUUCUUUUUUCAGAGAUAUAUUAGAAUAUAAAAUGAGUAGUUUUUGUUGUUUUUAAAUCAGUGUUUUACAAAAAAGGUAGGGCUUUGGAGAGUAGAAACAAAUAAAGGAGGAAAGAAUUAGGGAAUUAAUAAGAGCUUACUUUUUAUUUUCAGAUAUCUAGAAGGUUAUGUCUUUUUCAAGGUAAAGGGGGUAAUAGUUUACUUAUCCAAGAAAUUUUCUAUUAGACAGUUUUAAGAUGGUGGAGAUUUUAAACUAUUUAAUAAUAGUUUUGUUUUAGCACUUUCUUAUUAUUAAAAAUUAUAUUUCAUAAAGGCUGAGAAUAAGUC
rnacentral:lncRNA from 1 species